rnacentral:rRNA from 1 species
AGUGAACGCUGGCGGUAGGCCUAACACAUGCAAGUCGGACGGCAGCACAGUAAGAUCUUGCUCUUACGGGUGGCGAGUGGCGGACGGGUGAGGAAUACAUCGGAAUCUACUUUUUCGUGGGGGAUAACGGAGGGAAACUUACGCUAAUAGCGCAUACGACCUACGGGUGGAAUCAGGGGAUCUUCGGACCUUUGGUGAUUCAAUGAGCCGAUGUCGGAUUAGCUAGUUGGCGGGGUAACGGCCCACCAAGGCAACGAUCCGUAGCUGAUCUGAGAGGAUGAUCAGCCACACUGGAACUGAGACACGGUCCAGACUCCUACGGGAGGCAGCAGUAGGGAAUCUUGGACAAUGGGCGCAAGCCUGACGGAGCAAUGCCGCGUGAGUGAAGAAGGUCUUCGGGUCGUAAAGCUCUGUUGUUGGGAAAGAACAGAUGUGGGUUAAUCCAUGGCCGUCUUGACGGUACCCAAAGAGUAAGCACCGGCUAACUUCGUG